rnacentral:rRNA from 1 species
GAUGAACGCUAGCUACAGGCUUAACACAUGCAAGUCGAGGGGAAACGACAUCGAAAGCUUGCUUUUGAUGGGCGUCGACCGGCGCACGGGUGAGUAACGCGUAUCCAACCUGCCCACCACUUGGGGAUAACCUUGCGAAAGUAAGACUAAUACCCAAUGAUAUCUCUAGAAGACAUCUGAAAGAGAUUAAAGAUUUAUCGGUGAUGGAUGGGGAUGCGUCUGAUUAGCUUGUUGGCGGGGUAACGGCCCACCAAGGCAACGAUCAGUAGGGGUUCUGAGAAGAAGGUCCCCCACAUUGGAACUGAGACACGGUCCAAACUCCUACGGGAGGCAGCAGUGAGGAAUAUUGGUCAAUGGACGAGAGUCUGAACCAGCCAAGUAGCGUGCAGGAAGACGGCCCUAUGGGUUGUAAACUGCUUUUAUAAGGGAAUAAAGUGAGUCUCGUGAGACUUUUUGCAUGUACCUUAUGAAUAAGGACCGGCUAAUUCCGUG